GACAUGGUGCUCAAUGGCAUGCAAAAGAAUCUCCAUGAAAAACUCCACAGUUAAGCAUGCUUGAGCCAGAGGCGUCUUUGGAUGGGUGACCACCUAGAAAGUCCUGGUUACCAGGUGC
rnacentral:rRNA from 1 species